AUUGAACGCUGGCGGCAUGCCUUACACAUGCAAGUCGAACGGUAACGCGGGGCAACCUGGCGACGAGUGGCGAACGGGUGAGUAAUGCAUCGGAACGUGCCCAGUAGUGGGGGAUAGCUCGGCGAAAGCCGGAUUAAUACCGCAUACGACCUACGGGUGAAAGCGGGGGAUCGCAAGACCUCGCGCUAUUGGAGCGGCCG
rnacentral:rRNA from 1 species